rnacentral:rRNA from 1 species
CGGCGAACGGGUGAGUAACACGUGGGUAAUCUGCCCUCGGCACCGGAAUAGCCCGGGGAAACCCGGAUUAAUGCCGGAUGGCCCGUCGACCCUUCGGGGCUGACGGAAAAGGUAGCUUUGGCCUCCGGCCGAGGACGAGCCCGCGGCGGAUUAGCUUGUUGGUGGGGUAAUGGCCCACCAAGGCUCCGAUCCGUAGCUGGUCUGAGAGGACGAUCAGCCACACUGGGACUGAGACACGGCCCAG